CGGAAAUAGCUCAGUUGGUAGAGCAUCAGCUUCCCAAGCUGAGGGUCGCGAGUUCGAACCUCGUUUUCC
rnacentral:tRNA from 1 species